GGCUGGUCCCAAGGUAGUAAGUUAUCUCACUUGAUCGUUCACAGUCAGUUAUAGAUUGAACUCCUGUUCUACUUCUUUCCUGCUUUUCAAUACCGCACUUGACUAGUCUUAA
rnacentral:Y_RNA from 1 species